rnacentral:rRNA from 1 species
UAUGGAGGGUGCAAGCGUUGUUCGGAAUCACUGGGCGUAAAGCGCGUGUAGGCGGCUUCCUAAGUCUGGUGUGAAAGCCCGGGGCUCACCCCCGGAAGUGCACUGGAAACUGAGAGGCUUGAGUACCGGAGAGGAGGGUGGAAUUCCUGGUGUAGCGGUGAAAUGCGUAGAUAUCAGGAGGAACACCGGUGGCGAAGGCGGCCCUCUGGACGGAUACUGUCGCUGAGUCGCGAUAGCGUGGGGAGCAAACAGG